rnacentral:rRNA from 1 species
UACGGGGGGGGCAAGCGUUGUUCGGAAUUACUGGGCGUAAAGGGCUCGUAGGUGGCCAACUAAGUCAGACGUGAAAUCCCUCGGCUUAACCGGGGAACUGCGUCUGAUACUGGAUGGCUUGAGUUCGGGAGAGGGAUGCGGAAUUCCAGGUGUAGCGGUGAAAUGCGUAGAUAUCUGGAGGAACACCGGUGGCGAAGGCGGCAUCCUGGACCGAGAUUGACGCUGAGGCGCGAAAGCCAGGGGAGCAAACGGG